rnacentral:rRNA from 1 species
AGAGAGAGACAUGCGCGCAUAUCAAUAAGCGGAGGAAAAGAAACUAACAAGGAUUCCCCUAGUAACGGCGAGUGAAGCGGGAAGAGCUCAAAUUUGAAAUCUUAAAGGGUUUCCCUUUACGAAUUGUAGUUUAAAGAAGUGUUUUCUGUUGAGGUUUUGGUAAAAGUUCUUUGGAAUAGGACAUCAUAGAGGGUGAGAAUCCCGUAUUUGACCUUUACUUUCAACUUUGUGAUACACUUUCAAAGAGUCGGAUUGUUUGGGAAUGCAGUCCAAAAUGGGUGGUAAAUUUCAUCUAAAGCUAAAUAUUGGCGAGAGACCGAUAGCGAACAAGUACCGUGAGGGAAAGAUGAAAAGAACUUUGAAAAGAGAGUUAAACAGUACGUGAAAUUGUCAAAAGGGAAGCGUUUGACACCAGUGUUGUUUUUCUGAAAAUCAAUUAAAGAACUGUUUAUGCUAAGCUGUUUAGACUUUAUCAGCUAACUGUUUAGUUUUGAGCUUUUCUUUAAUGCACUUUUCAGUUAACAAGUCAACAUCAAUUUCUUUUGCUGUAAAAAAGCUUGAGGAAGGUGGCUUGAGAUUCGUCUUAAGUGUUUAUAGCCUCUUGCCUAUGCAGUCGGAGAGAUUGAGGUCUGCAGCGUAGAUCCUUCGGGGCUAAAUGCAUUUGUGCUAAGUUAUAGCAUUUUAUAGACAACUUGUUGACUAUGAUUUGUCUUGUAGCUUACUCGCUUAUGCUCUAUUCUACCUACGCUUAGGAUGUUGAGCGCAUGUCUCUCUCU